AGAGGAGAUCUGCCUGCUGCAUCCAGAGGAGAGGAGGUUUGGAGCUUGGGUACGGCUUCUCUAUGAUUCUGCGUUUGGUGAUCAGAAACUUGGUGUUUCCAAGCUGUUCAACUGAGGAAUAGGCCUUAGACCAGGAGACUCUUGGAUGGAUGCCCUGUCUCUUGCUUACUGCAUAAACUGUGAGCCCUUGGAGGAUAGGGAACUUAUGCCCACUGCAAGAGAGGCUGACAAGGCUCCAUAUGGGUUCUACCACUCUCUGGGGUUUCUACUUUCUGGGGGUACAGAAAAUAGAAACAUGACUCAGAGUUCCUGCCUCAUGGAGUCUGGGAGCUUUCCUCCUCAUGGAUCUGGGAGCUUCCAGGAACACAUCAAGGAAGAAGGAGGUGUCACGUCUCAACACCCACCCAGCUUACCUGCAGAUCCCAGAAGAGCCAAGAGGUUCCGAGGGCACCCUUAAUGAGACAAGGCAUCUGAUGACACCUUCCAUUACACCAGGCACCAGUACAGAAAGCAAGCUGUUCUGCGGCACCAGAACAUAUGAAAAGGAAGCGCAGUUUUCCACACACAGUCGCUUCCCGUCUCAGACCCCAUGACUGCAGAGUUCCAGAAAGUAAACACUGUAGAUCCAAGCAGAGUGCCAGAUGGUGGGCUGAAGUAGAACCAGCGCACAGAGACUGGAACACACAGGGCUGGGAGCUCCUUGCUCUCUUCGUCUGCUUCCACCUAUUCAGAUGUCUCCAGGGUUCAGGAAUAGAAGCUUUCACUGAAGAGACAUCAGGCAUCUAAGGAUCGCUUGACACAGUGGAAUACCAGGCACACAGUGGGAAGCUUCUCCCAGUGGGUUGCUAACAGAUGAAGAGCAGAAACAGGAAUGGAUCCUUCCUCUUAAGGUUCCUGCCACCUUAGACUGGAGACCAAGCCUGCAGGACGUGAAGCUUGGGAAGUCAGAUCACGCUCCAAGAAUGGAGUCGUAUGAGGAGGAUUCUGAGUGCUUGGGAGAAAACUCCAAGAAACCAGGACGAGAGAUUUGUGAUUUCAGUUUCUUCAAAGUCACAAAAUUUUUCUUGGAUUAUGCUUUUGUGCCCCUCCCAGAUGUAGCAAUUGACUUCAGAUUAUUCAUCAUAACUGGCUAUUAUUUGUUUAUACACCUCUAUGGAAAAUCCAUGUGUGGCUUUGGCCUGGUGACUGUACACUUUACUCACUUGGCUCUGAGUAACCCUCAAAGUAUAAAUUGUCUGAUGCUCUGAA
rnacentral:lncRNA from 1 species